AGGCGGCAGAGCAAAUCCGCAUG
rnacentral:snRNA from 1 species